CUCAACCUGGGAACUGCAUCUGAUACUGGCAAGCUUGAGUCUCGUAGAGGGGGGUAGAAUUCCAGGUGUAGCGGUGAAAUGCGUAGAGAUCUGGAGGAAUACCGGUGGCGAAGGCGGCCCCCUGGACAAAGACUGACGCUCAGGUGCGAAAGCGUGGGGAGCAAACAGGAUUAGAUACCCUGGUAGUCCACGCCGUAAACGAUGUCGAUUUGGAGGUUGUGCCCUUGAGGCGUGGCUUCCGGAGCUAACGCGUUAAAUCGACCGCCUGGGGAGUACGGCCGCAAGGUUAAAACUCAAAUGAAUUGACGGGGGCCCGCACAAGCGGUGGAGCAUGUGGUUUAAUUCGAUGCAACGCGAAGAACCUUACCUGGUCUUGACAUCCACAGAACUUUCCAGAGAUGGAUUGGUGCCUUCGGGAACUGUGAGACAG
rnacentral:rRNA from 1 species